UACGGAGGGUGCAAGCGUUAAUCGGAAUUACUGGGCGUAAAGGGUGCGUAGGUUGUUUAUUAAGUUAUUUGUGAAAUCCCUGGGCUUAACCUGGGCAGGUCAGAUAAUACUGAUAGACUCGAGUAUGGGAGAGGGUAGUGGAAUUUCCGGUGUAGCGGUGAAAUGCGUAGAGAUCGGAAGGAACACCAGUGGCGAAGGCGGCUCACUGGACUGGUACUGACGCUGAGGCGCGAAAGCGUGGGGAGCAAACGGG
rnacentral:rRNA from 1 species